rnacentral:rRNA from 1 species
GAGUUUGAUCAUGGCUCAGAUUGAACGCUGGCGGUAUGCAUAACACAUGCAAGUCGAACGGUAGCAGGCUCGGGAAACCGAGUGCUGACGAGUGGCGGACGGGUGAGUAAUGCGUAGGGAUUUGCCUAGUAGAGGGGGAUAACCUGGGGAAACUCAGGCUAAUACCGCAUAUGCCUAAGGGUGAAAGAGGGGGACCGUAAAAGGCCUCUUGCUACUGGAUGAACCUGCGUAGGAUUAGCUAGUUGGUAGGGUAAAGGCCUACCAAGGCGAAGAUCCUUAACUGGUCUGAGAGGACGACCAGUCACACUGGGACUGAGACACG